rnacentral:rRNA from 1 species
UUUGCUAUAGCAUUAAUCUUACUAGAAUUUACUAGUUUUAUAUGUGUGACUAGCUACUCUAGGGAUAACAGCGCAAUUUCCCCCGAAAGAUGGUAUUGGAGGGGAAGAUUGCGACCUCGAUGUUGGCUUUAGGUGUCCUAGAGGUGUAGAAGCCUCUAAGGGUGGGUCUGUUCGCCCUUUAAAAUCUAACAUGAGCUGAGUUCAGAACGGCGUAAGCUAGUUCAGUUUCUAUCCUCUUUUAAAAAUGAGCUAAUUUUGUACGAAAGGACUUUUUCGCUAAAGUAAUGCUUUGGCCCAGCCCUAUAAUUACACAAAUAAUGAUUACAUGACGAGCUGAGUAACUCAUAAAAAGGACUG